rnacentral:lncRNA from 1 species
UUUAUUUUUUCUAAAUUUUCUACAUAAACAUGUAUGUAUUUAGUAUUUAUAAAAAAUGAAAAUUACUUUAAAAAAUAUGAGCAGGCUUUCCCUAUAUUAAUCUGCAACAGUAUGUUUUUAUUCCAUAGUUUUACAUUCUUUUUUGUAACAGAUUUCUUUAAAAGCAAGCACUUCUCUUUUUCCUUCGACCUAGGGACUCUUUUUCGAUCAACAAUUUAACAUUUUGAUGAGAUUUAUUGUGGAUCAAACUCAAACUCCAAAUCUAAAGGUCAAAGUCGCAAUUCUAAAAUACAUCGAGUCUUUGGCCAGACAGAUGGAUCCAACAGAUUUUGUAAACUCAAGUGAGACAAGGCUUGCUGUUUCUAGAAUCAUAACGUGGACAACAGAACCAAAGAGUUCAGAUGUGAGAAAGGCAGCACAGAUUGUGCUGAUUUCUCUGUUUGAACUGAACACCCCUGAAUUUACCAUGUUACUUGGUGCCUUGCCGAAAACAUUUCAGGAUGGUGCCACCAAACUCCUGCAUAACCACCUCAAGAACGCUAGUAACACCAGUGUGGGAUCUCCAAGCAAUACGAUUGGCCGGACGCCCUCCCGACACCCCAGCAGUAGGACUAGCCCUCUGACCUCACCCACCAACUGUUCCCACGGUGGGCUAUCUCCAAGCAUGCUGGACUAUGACACAGAAAAUCUAAACUCUGAAGAAAUCUAUAGUUCUCUACGUGGAGUUACAGAAGCCAUUGAAAAGUUUAGUUUCCGAAGCCAGGAGGAUCUGAAUGAGCCAAUUAAACGAGAUGGCAAAAAGGACUUUGAUAUUGUAUCUCGGGAUGGAGGAGCUGCAUCCCCGGCCACCGAGGGCCGGGGUGGCAGUGAAGUGGAAGGAGGAAGGACGGCUCUGGACAACAAGACCUCUCUCCUCAACACCCAGCCCCCACGUGCCUUCCCAGGGCCUCGAGCACGUGACUAUAACCCAUACCCCUACUCAGACACCAUCAACACCUACGAUAAGACAGCCCUGAAAGAAGCCAUGUUUGAUGAUGACAUGGAGCAACUUCGGGAUGUGCCCAUCGACCAUUCUGACCUGGUGGCAGACCUGCUGAAAGAGCUGUCCAACNNNNNNNNNNNNNNNNNNNNNNNNNNNNNNNNNNNNNNNNNNNNNNNNNNNNNGAAGAGCGGAAGGGUGCCCUACUGGAGCUACUCAAAAUCACACGGGAGGAUAGCCUAG